CAAGGCAGCACAUCUGAAGUGCAUUUUCACAUACUGCGGACUAAUCCUAAGGCUUUUAAACUUGUCAUUCUGAGGUCGGGCUGUGCAGAUGAGACCACUUGCAAGUUUACCAUCAGCUUCUCCACACAAGAGGCUUUCUAAACUGAACCAGGACAAGCCUCCAGAUAUGAAGGAACACAAAUCACUGGUCCUUAGCAGAUGGCAGAAAAACGGCACUGGAUAAUUGAAAAUCUUGAAGUGGAUCAAUAUUUAGAAGCCCAAGGUUACAAGAAGUGUGACAUUACUAUUAACAUAGAGGUAUGAUGCAUUGCAUACACAGACAGAAUGACUUCUUAUUUGAAUAUAAAUGACUAUAGUAUCCAAGUGUUUGCUUCCCAGUGAAAGAAAGAUGCAGACAUUUUUACAUGGAGACCCACAGCUGCAUACCUCCAGUCAUAUGUAUCCAUUUACACGCAUGCACAUAGUGAGUAAAAUAUGUGGGGACCCUGAAUGUACCAUGAAGCCUCAACAUGCCAUCUCAGUCCACCCCAGUUCUACCAUGUCCCCCAAAGCACCCUCAUAGCAGUUACCUCUGGCCUGUUAAAAAUGAUAUCAGCACAUGGAGGGCGAACAUUAGCAUUUGCAUUUUAUUGGAAGUGGCGAGAUUUAGAGCGGAGGGUAUAUCAGCUCUGAGCAGACAGAAUUAGUUAACAAUGCAUUACCUGCCUUUUAUGGCGGCUAUAACUCUCGGAGCUGGUGGGGAGAGGAGAUGAAGGCAGGAGGAAGGAGGGGCACACGGAGGUUGGCGCUGCAAGC